AGGCCUGAAAAAACCAAAGGCAGGGGGUGAGAACACACACGCAUCACCACGGAAACGGAAUCAAGCCUAGCGCGCGGCGCAGACCUCUCCACAGAGGAAACAAAGACCGCAGACAGCCAGAGUGCAGAGGACCACAGCGGUCAGCA